rnacentral:miRNA from 1 species
AAUUUUAGAUAAGCAAUGAACAGGUUUUAUUUAGAAUAAGUAUAUCCCAUGCAAUAUUUGGGACAUAGUUAUCCUAAAAAAAUUUAUUUGUUCUUUAUCUGAAAUUCUAAUUUAACUGGGUAGCCUCUAUUUU